rnacentral:rRNA from 1 species
UUGGAGGGCAAGUCUGGUGCCAGCAGCCGUGGUAAUUCCAGCUCCAAUAGCGUAUAUUAAAGUUGUUGCAGUUAAAAAGCUCGUAGUUGAAUUUCGGGAUUAGUACGUCGGUCGUGCCUUAGGUACGUACUGGUGUUACUGGUUCCUACCUUCUGACGAACCAUCAUGUCAUUAAUUUGGUGUGGUGGGGAAUCAGGACUGUUACUUUGAAAAAUUAGAGUGUUUAAAGCAGGCUCGCGCUUGAAUACAUUAGCAUGGAAUAAUGAAAUAGGACGUUGAUCCUAUUUUGUUGGUUUCUAGGAUUGACGUAAUGAUUAAUAGGGAUAGUUGGGGGCAUUAGUAUUCAAUUGUCAGAGGUGAAAUUCUUGGAUUUAUUGAAGACUAACUACUGCGAAAGCAUUUGCCAAGGAUGUUUUCAUUAAUCAAGAACGAAAGUUAGGGGAUCGAAGACGAUCAGAUACCGUCGUAGUCUUAACCAUAAACUAUGCCGACUAGGGAUCGGAUGAUGUUAAUUUUUUAAUGACUCAUUCGGCGCCUUACGGGAAAC